UAGUCCACGCCGUAAACGAUGGAUACUCGAUGUUGCCCUCUUUUGGGCAGCGUCCAAGCUAACGCGUUAAGUAUCCCACCUGGGGAGUACGCCCGCAAGGGUGAAACUCAAAGGAAUUGACGGGGGCCCGCACAAGCGGUGGAGCAUGUGGCUUAAUUCGAUGCGACGCGAGGAACCUUACCUGGACUCGAACGCUACCGGACAGUCCCCGAAAAGGGAUCUUCUUCGGACUGGUAGUGAGGUGCUGCAUGGCUGUCGUCAGUUCGUGUCGUGAGAUGUUGGGUUAAGUCCCGCAACGAACGCAACCCCUAUCGUUAGUUACCAGCGGGUCAUGCCGGGGACUCUAGCGAGACUGCCUGCGCAAGCAGUGAGGAAGGUGGGGACGACGUCAAGUCAUCAUGGCCUUUAUGUCCAGGGCUGUUCACGUGCUACAAUGGGUGAUACAAUGGGCUGCUACUCCGCGAGGAGACGCGAAUCCACAAAGUCAUCCCCAGUUCGGA
rnacentral:rRNA from 1 species